ACUUGUAACUUUUUUAAUAAAGCAUUUGAUUUGAAAUCAGAUUGAUUGUUUUUAAUAACAAUAUAAGUU
rnacentral:tRNA from 1 species